ACGGAAGGCAGCAGUGAGGAAUAUUGGUCAAUGGGCGGAAGCCUGAACCAGCCAAGUCGCGUGAAGGAUGAAGGUAUUAUGUAUUGUAAACUUCUUUAGCAGCAGAGUAAUAAGGUCCUCGUGAGGGCUGAUGCAAGUAUGCUGAAAAUAAGGAUCGGCUAACUCCGUGCCAGCAGCCGCGGUAAUACGGAGGAUCCGAGCGUUAUCCGGAUUUAUUGGGUUUAAAGGGUGCGCAGGCGGCUUUUUAAGUCAGCGGUAAAAUCGUGGGGCUCAACCCCAUCCUGCCGUUGAUACUGGAGAGCUUGAUUGCGGUUGAGGUUGGCGGAAUUCGUCGUGUAGCGGUGAAACGCAUAGAUAUGACGAAGAACACCGAUUGCGUAGGCAGCUGACCAAGCCGUAAAUGACGCUCAUGCACGAAAGUGCGGGGAUCGAACAGGAUUAGAUACCCUGGUA
rnacentral:rRNA from 1 species